ensembl:snoRNA
AUUGAGGCCCAUCCCCAGGGGGCUUUUCCUGUGGACCCACAUUGUUAGAUAUUCCUCAUUGAGUAACGAUGUGGUUUUGCUUUACUCACAUAACUAUUUUAGAUCUGUGGGAAAGAACUACAAGACAGAG